UACGUAGGGUCCGAGCGUUGUCCGGAGUUACUGGGCGUAAAGCGCGCGCAGGCGGCGGUGCUGGCCCGGCGUGAAAGCCCCCGGCUCAACCGGGGAGGGUCGUCGGGGACCGCACCGCUUGAGGGCGGUAGGGGCUGGUGGAAUGCCUGGUGUAGUGGUGAAAUGCGUAGAGAUCAGGCGGAACACCCGUGGCGAAGGCGGCCAGCUGGGCCGUCCCUGACGCUGAGGCGCGAAAGCUAGGGGAGCGAACGGG
rnacentral:rRNA from 1 species